rnacentral:rRNA from 1 species
UACGUAGGGGGCAAGCGUUGUCCGGAUUUAUUGGGCGUAAAGAGCGUGUAGGCGGUCAGGUAGGUCCGUUGUGAAAACUCGAGGCUCAACCUCGAGACGUCGGCGGAAACCAUCUGGCUAGAGUCCGGAAGAGGAGAGUGGAAUUCCUGGUGUAGCGGUGAAAUGCGCAGAUAUCAGGAAGAACACCCGUGGCGAAGGCGGCUCUCUGGGACGGUACUGACGCUGAGACGCGAAAGCGUGGGGAGCGAACAGGAU